GUGCUCACUUGGCAGCAUAUAUACUAAAAUUGGAACGAUACAGAGAAGAUUAGCUGGUCCCUGCGCAAAGAUGAUAUGCAAAUUCGUGAAGCAUUCCAUAUUUUU
ensembl:snRNA U6 U6 spliceosomal RNA